UUCCGGUUGAUCCUGCCGGACCUGACUGCUAUCGGAUUGAUACUAAGCCAUGCGAGUCAUUGUAGCAAUACAAGGCAUACGGCUCAGUAACGCGUAGUCAACCUAACCUAUGGACGGGAAUAACCUCGGGAAACUGAGAAUAAUGCCCGAUAGAACAUCAUGCCUGGAAUGGUUUAUGUUCCAAAUGAUUUAUCGCCGUAGGAUGGGACUGCGGCCUAUCAGUUUGUCGGUGAGGUAAUGGCCCACCAAGACUAUUACAGGUACGGGCUCUGAGAGGAGUAGCCCGGAGAUGGGUACUGAGACACGGACCCAGGCCCUAUGGGGCGCAGCAGGCGAGAAAACUUUGCAAUGUGCGAAAGCACGACAAGGUUAAUCCGAGUGGUUUCUGCUAAAGGAACCUUUUGUCAGUCCUAGAAACACUGAUGAAUAAGGGGUGGGCAAGUUCUGGUGUCAGCCGCCGCGGUAAAACCAGCACCUCAAGUGGUCAGGAUGAUUAUUGGGCCUAAAGCAUCCGUAGCCGGCUAUGUAAGUUUUCGGUUAAAUCUGUACGCUCAACGUACAGGCUGCCGGGAAUACUGCAAAGCUAGGGAGAGGGAGAGGUAGACGGUACUCGGUAGGAAGGGGUAAAAUCCUUUGAUCUGUUGAUGACCACCUGUGGCGAAGGCGGUCUACCAGAACACGUCCGACGGUGAGGGAUGAAAGCUGGGG
rnacentral:rRNA from 2 species